rnacentral:rRNA from 1 species
UACGUAGGGUCCGAGCGUUGUCCGGAAUUACUGGGCGUAAAGAGCUCGUAGGUGGUUUGUCACGUUGUUCGUGAAAACCCACAGCUUAACUGUGGGCGUGCGGGCGAUACGGGCAGACUAGAGUACUGCAGGGGAGACUGGAAUUCCUGGUGUAGCGGUGGAAUGCGCAGAUAUCAGGAGGAACACCGAUGGCGAAGGCAGAUCUCUGGGCCGAUACUGACGCUGAGGAGCGAAAGCGUGGGGGAGCGAACAGG